rnacentral:rRNA from 1 species
CCCUUAGAUGUCCUGGGCCGCACGCGUGCUACACUGACGCAUACAGCGAGCACUUUCCAGUUCCGAGAGGCUACUGGUAAUCAUCAAUAUGCGUCGUGAUGGGGAUAGAUCUUUGGAAUUCUGGAUCUUGAACGAGGAAUGCCUAGUAAUCGCAGGUCAUUAGCCUGCGAUGAUUAAGUCCCUGCCCUUUGUACACACCGCCCGUCGCUACUACCGAUUUCGAGUGGUCAGGUGAAUCUUUCGGACUGUGGGCGCCCUUGAGGUGUUCGCGGAAAGUCAGGUAAAUCUUAUCACUUAGAGGAAGUAAAAGUCGUNACA